UGUGUGUGUGUGUGUGUGUGUACUUUUGUGUAUACUGGAUAGCUGAUUGUACAAGUUUUUUACCGUAAUGAUUAGUUUUACUUUAGCAAUUUUAAGUGCAGAUAAGAUUUUCCUUUGUACCGCGCGUUGAGCUAUCUCAAGAGGUUUUAAAGUUGUUUUUGAUGCUUCACCCCAAGAUACAAUGCAAUAUGAAAUGAUAGAUUGACAUAAAGCUAAAUAUAUUCUUUUUAAAAUAGUUGGUUCAACAACGU